UGCUUUCUGUCCCUUUAUAUC
rnacentral:piRNA from 1 species